rnacentral:rRNA from 1 species
UACGUAGGGUGCGAGCGUUAAUCGGAAUUACUGGGCGUAAAGCGUGCGCAGGCGGUUUUGUAAGCCAGAUGUGAAAUCCCCGGGCUUAACCUGGGAAUGGCAUUUGGGACUGCAAGGCUGGAGUUUGGCAGAGGAGACUGGAAUUCCUGGUGUAGCAGUGAAAUGCGUAGAUAUCAGGAGGAAUACCGAUGGCGAAGGCAGGUCUCUGGGCUAUAACUGACGCUCAUGCACGAAAGCGUGGGAGCAAACAGG